AAAUAGUAAAGUCUUGCCAACAAAAUAUGCAUUUCAAUUAAAUAUUUGGUACAACCUAUUAUCAGAUAACAACUGGAAAACCAGAAAGACUAAUUAGAGAUCAUAAAAAACCUAUAACAAAACAUGCAGCUUUGUCCUGGUUUAAAGGUGGUAUUUUAUCCCAUACAAAAGUGGGCAAGAGGGUAACACUGGUUUAAAGGUGGUAUUUUAUCCCAUACAAAAGUGGGCAAGAGGGUAACACUGGUUUAAAGGUGGUAUUUUAUCCCAUACAAAAGUGGGCAAGAGGGUAACAUUGGUUUAAAGGUGGUAUUUUAUCCCAUACAAAAGUGGGCAAGAGGGUAACAUUGGUUUAAAGGUGGUAUUUUAUCCCAUACAAAAGUGGGCAAGAGGGUAACACUGGUUUAAAGGUGGUAUUUUAUCCCAUACAAAAGUGGGCAAGAGGGUAACACUGGUUUAAAGGUGGGGUUUUCCCCAUACAAAAGUGGG